rnacentral:lncRNA from 1 species
GGCGCCUCUCCCUCCACACCUCCCUGCAAGCUGAGGGAGCCGGCUCUGGCCUUGGCCAGCCUAGAAAGGGGCUCCCACAGUGCAGUGGUGGGCUGAAGGGCUCCUCAAAUGCCGCCAAAGUGGGAGCCCAGGCAGAGGAGGUGCCAAGAGCAAGCGAGGGCUCUGAGGACUGCCAGCACGCUGUCACCUGUCAUUAUCAACAACUUGACUAAAAUACCUCUGUGUUUGAAGAGGAAGCCAGAGAAAUUAGAAACAAGAGAAACAUUUGAUGCAUUAUUGCUGACUUGAAGAUGGAGAGAGGUUCCCCUGAGCAUACAGGAGUACUCCAUGAAGACUGCAAUGGCUUCCCUCUCACAAACUGCAUGCACGUCCAGCAGCUCCUGGAGUGUGUCUGUGGGGAAUCUCACUUGCUGGGCCAUCUGCUGGCUGUAGUGGUUGGCUGCCCUCUGCACGGCUGCUGAGUUCUCACACUGGGCCAGAACUGCCAUUGCAUUCUCCAGACAAGGAGUCGCUCCACUGUUGAUGGCAUCCAGAGACCAUCAAGCUUCAGAAGAUCAUGUGACAAAUGUUCCAGCCAGUUCCAGUUGAAGACACCACCCCUGGCCAUCAAGAAGCUACUCUGCCUCCACUAGACAGAGCAGGGUGACAGUUCCGUGAUCCCCAAUAGGUAGGGACUUUGCUUCAAGCCAGCAUGAGGCAGUUACAGAAGAAAGACCAUUAGUCACUCCACCUCCCAUAAAGAUUUAUGGGGAUGACAUCUCUCAGGGAGGAAAUGAGGCAGGAAAAUAGGAUCUGGAGGCAUAGAACAUAAGGCCUAUUCACACUUCAGCUAUGCCGGGAAAUAUUAUCUCCAUUUACAUAGGGCAUACACAAAGUAACCAAUGGAAACCUCUAGAGGGUAUUUAAAUCCCCCAAAAUUCUGUAACAGGACCCUUGAGCCCCUAUGCUUGGGCCCACUCCCACACUGUGGAGUGUACUUCCAUUUUCAAU